GACUAGUCCAUUUGGGAAUGUGCACUCGAAGUCAGGCGAACGUAUAAAUCCCGCUUAACUUUGUUUGUUGUCAUUUUGUUUAGUCAGAUUUUAGUCAAUGACAAUGAAGAGAUAUUUCAGCAUAGUUUUUAUUUUGUAAACCACAUUUAGUCUUGUUUCUAUCCGGCAACAAUAUUGCAUUAUAUAUUUAAUUAAAGUCAUUGUCACAAGACCAGCAUUGUCAUCAUCACAUGAUUGUAACAGUGUCAUGAACUGUACAAGGUUUUAAAUGGGUGUAGUUUUCUUCCUCACCACCAGGGGGUCAUAGUGUGCUCCAUGGGUGCUAUAAAAGCUGAGGAAGUAGUAGAGUGAGACAGAGACAUUAACACUUACAAUAUACAAAGCUUUUUAGAAUGUAAUUUUGAGCAAUGGAAGACGUAUAGAGCCAUUAUUAAAUUUAUUAAAGACAUAGGGUUAUACGGGAUAAUUUAGUUUUUUUUUUUUUCAUUUCCUUGCUUGUCUGGGCUCCACACUCCAGUUUGGUAGGUGGCGGUAAUGCACCAUAAGCUGGUUUGCCAACCGCCAUAAAAAUUCAGAAGAAGAAGAAGAAGAAGAACAGUGAGACAGAGGACAGCAUGGUGUGCCUCGUGUUACUUCUCUGUACUGGGAGAUCAUCCUUAUUGAGAAACUUGGUUGUUUGCUGCUAAAUUGUGCAGGAGGAACUUCGAGGAGAACUUCGCAAAGGAGAACUCGGUUUAGUGUUGCUGUAGUUGCACUUGGAUCAACCGUUAUCUGACUUGGAUGCUGAGACCCUUGAACUCUGCCUGGCUUAAGACAGCAACUGCCCCCCUUAAGCCUCACAAGCAAAACUCUGAUGCCCGUCUCCUAAGACAAUGCUGUAGAAAGGCAGAAUGUAGAUGGAAACAAGACAGGCUGCAUAUUUCUCUUUAAAUGUUCAGAGACUCUCUUACUUCUUACAAUACUGCAACUAAGUCUGCAAAAGCUGCAUACUUUUCUAACCUAAUUGAAACUAAUCAUUCUACACCUACAGUUUUGCUUUCAAUUAUUCAAUCUGUUACCUAUCAUUCUGUGAACACCUUGCUUGUUGCCUCUGAUGCUCUCUGUGAAAGCUUCUUGAGAUUGUUUUGUGACAAAAAUUGCUAACUUAAGACUUGGUGUCUGCCCCACACUAGGGCCCAAUCCAAAUUCUAUUUUAUACCCCUUCCCCUACCCCUCCACCUACCCCAUCCCCUUGUCCCUUGAAACAGAGUGUCAAGUGGUAGGGUUGAAAAUAUUCCCCAAAGAAUUGGGACACCACUACUAUGCCAUCACACGUCAUCAUACAUCGUCUAGCUCCUACAAUGCACACAUAUAUUGGUGUGCUGUUGUACAUUAGAGCCUUUAAUUAUUGUUCUGUAUUAAAGGGUAGUUCACCCAAUAAUCAAAAUUAUGUAA